ACACCUUCGGCAGUUUCCAAGUUGUAUUCAGCAACAUCAGGAGGUCCACGAGUGGUAGUGAAAGGAUAGUUAAGAUCGACACCGUUGGGGAAAAGGGUUUCCGACUGUCUUGAAGUAGUCCUGUUUUAAGGGUUGCCGGCCAAAUCCAACAUUCUUGACUGGGUCAAGUGCAUGGGGUUGUCAGUGGCUUCCUGAUCCUCCACUGUAGCAGUGGAGUCAUGAGUAUUUGUCUUUUCCAAAGGCAUUAUUAAUUUAUGCGCACAAGUAAAGAACUAAAAGAUAAUGAAGAAGAAAACAGUAUAUAGAUGUUUUUUUGGUUGACAAAAAUUGACAAGAAAAGAAAAGAGAACAAAUCUAAACUAAUUGAAGGGAAGAAAAGAACAACAAACAAACAAAAACUAUGUUGCAAGAGAAAA